AGCCGUGCGUUGAGCACAUAGCGAAUUAUUCUUUCGCCUUUUACUAAAGAAUACCGUGUGCUUGUCGCAUAUAGCGGCAUACGUUAAUUUUUGGAGGGUUCUCUCAUUGUGUAGGAG